GUGCUCUCUUUAGCAGCACAUAUACUAAAAUUGGAAUGACACACAGAAGAUUUAGUAUGGCCCCUGUGCAAGGAUGACACACAAAUUCAUGAAGCGUUCCAUAUUUUU